rnacentral:misc_RNA from 1 species
ACAUUUUGCAAAUAGACAACCAAAAAAUAUUGAAAUAUCGUAAAGUGUGUGACCGCCACUUUGAAGAAAUAUAUCACACUCGGAGUAAGCGGCUUAGUUCUAACGCCGUUCCAACUCUUUAUGUGCCAGGAUUGCGGUAAAAAAACAAUGGGAGAUAUUACUAAUCAAAGCUGCAACUAUCUUGAAGUCCAGCCUUCAACUUCUGCUGGUAUGAAAGAUACCUGUUGGUAUUAAAAGCGACGAUGUUCAUGUAACUGAGAAAACAGUAACAGAACAGCCAAUGACUUCUGCGGGCCACAAACGAAAGCACCAACAGAAAUAAUUCUUAAUCUUAAUUAAUUCACUCUUCUGAGACUAGCCUUUUAAUAAGAGAAAUAAACAGAUUCCAGAAAACAAAUGAAUCUUACAGCAGCAGAC